CAGUAGCCGCGGGAAUACGUAGGGUGCAAGCGUUAAUCGGAAUUACUGGGCGUAAAGCGUGCGCAGGCGGUUGUGUAAGACAGGUGUGAAAUCCCCGGGCUUAACCUGGGAACUGCGCUUGUGACUGCACAGCUAGAGUAUGGCAGAGGGGGGUGGAAUUCCACGUGUAGCAGUGAAAUGCGUAGAGAUGUGGAGGAACACCGAUGGCGAAGGCAGCCCCCUGGGCCAAUACUGACGCUCAUGCACGAAAGCGUGGGGAGCAAACAGGAUUAGAUACCCGCGUAGUCCCUGUCUCUUAUAC
rnacentral:rRNA from 1 species